rnacentral:rRNA from 1 species
CCUACGGGAGGCAGUAGUGGGGAAUAUUGGACAAUGGGGGCAACCCUGAUCCAGCCAUGCCGCGUGUGUGAAGAAGGCCCUCGGGUUGUAAAGCACUUUCAGUGAGGAAGAACGCCUGGUGGUUAAUACCCAUCAGGAAAGACAUCACUCACAGAAGAAGCACCGGCUAACUCCGUGCCAGCAGCCGCGGUAAUACGGAGGGUGCGAGCGUUAAUCGGAAUUACUGGGCGUAAAGCGCGCGUAGGUGGCUUGAUAAGCCGGUUGUGAAAGCCCCGGGCUCAACCUGGGAACGGCAUCCGGAACUGUCAAGCUAGAGUGCAGGAGAGGAAGGUAGAAUUCCCGGUGUAGCGGUGAAAUGCGUAGAGAUCGGGAGGAAUACCAGUGGCGAAGGCGGCCUUCUGGACUGACACUGACACUGAGGUGCGAAAGCGUGGGUAGCAAACAGGAUUAGAUACCCCUGUAGUC